AUUGAACGCUGGCGGCAGGCCUAACACAUGCAAGUCGAGCGAGUGGCGGACGGGUUAGUAAUGUCUGGGAAUCUGCCCGAUGGAGGGGGAUAACUAAUGGAAACGGUAGCUAAUACCGCAUACCAUCAGAUGUACCCAGAUGGGAUUAGCUUGUAGGUGAGGUAACGGCUCACCUAGGCGACGAUCCCUAGCUGGUCUGAGAGGAUGAACAGCCACACUGGAACUGAGACACGGCCCAGACUCCGACGGGAGUAAGCAGUGGGGAAUAUUGCACAAGGGGCGCAAGCCUGAUGCAGCCAUGCUGCGUGUAUGAAGAAGGCUUUCGGGUUGUAAAGUACUGUCAGUGGGGAGGCGGUACUGACAGAAGAAGCACCGGCUAACUCCGUGCCAGCAGCCGCGGUAAUUC
rnacentral:rRNA from 1 species